rnacentral:rRNA from 1 species
CCUACGGGAGGCAGCAGUGGGGAAUAUUGCACAAUGGGGGAAACCCUGAUGCAGCGACGCCGCGUGAGUGAAGAAGUAUUUAGGGAUGUAAAGCUUUAUCAGCAGGGAAGAAGAAAGACGGUACCUGACUAAGAAGCCCCGGCUAACUACGUGCCAGCAGCCGCGGUAAUAAGUAGGGGGCAAGCGUUAUCCGGAUUUACUGGGGGUAAAGGGAGCGUAGAUGGGUGUGCAAGUCUGAAGUGAAAGCCCAGGGCUCAACCCUGGGACUGAUUUGGAGACUGUGGAGCUAGAGUGCUGGAGAGGUAAGUGGAAUUCGUGGUGUAGCGGUGAAAUGCGUAGAUAUUAGGAAGAACACCAGUGGCGAAGGCAGCUUACUGGACAGUAACUGACGUUGAUGCUCGAAAGCGUGGGGAGCAAACAGGAUUAGAUACCCCAGUAGUC